rnacentral:rRNA from 1 species
CAAUAGCGUAUAUUAAAGUUGUUGCGGUAAAAAAGCUCGUAGUUGGAUUUCUACCGAAGAUAGCCGGUCGGGUCUUCGACCUUGUAUCUGGUUUUGUCUUUGGUAUCCUCAUAGGGAACGUUUCUGCGCUUUAUUGCGUGGUGCGGUAUCUAUGACCUUUACUUUGAGGAAAUUAGAGUGUUCACGGCAGGCAAACGCCUUGAAUAUAUUAGCAUGGAAUAAUAACAUAGGAUCUUCGUCCUAUUUUGUUGGUUUCUAGGGCUAAGAUAAUGAUUAAUAGGGAUAAUUGGGGGCAUCUGUAUCAACGCGUCAGAGGUGGAAUUCUUGGAUUGCGUUGCGACAAUCUACUGCGAAAGCAUUUGCCAAGGAUGUUUUCAUUGG